rnacentral:rRNA from 1 species
UACGGGGGGGGCAAGCGUUGUUCGGAAUUACUGGGCGUAAAGGGCUCGUAGGCGGCCAACUAAGUCAGACGUGAAAUCCCCAGGCUUAACCUGGGAACUGCGUCUGAUACUGGAUGGCUUGAAUUCGGGAGAGGGAUGCAGAAUUCCAGGUGUAGCGGUGAAAUGCGUAGAUAUCAGGAGGAACACCGAUGGCGAAGGCAGGUCUCUGGGCCGCAACUGACGCUGAGGAGCGAAAGCAUGGGGAGCGAACAGG